rnacentral:misc_RNA from 1 species
UUGGCUACGGCGAGCGCAUGAGUUGUUUUGGACCCGUGUCUGCCGGUAGAUCCCCCGUCUUCGUGCGGCCGACUACCGGCGCCUUGUCCCGUCAUUCGUGUGGCUUAUGUUACUGUUGCCUUGCAAGUGCUUGCGUGCUGUUACCCGACCAACGGGAAGUGGUGCUUCAUACACGGUUGCCUCGCGGUGGACACCUUCGGGUGUCCCACUGCGGCCAAACGACGCUWGUGGCGUUGCCUCGUGGUGCUGUGCUCGUUUACGUGCCCUGUGCUAUCAAGGCAGCCUCACUCGCGCUGUUGGUCUCGGAUGUCGCUCACGAUAUUGGCUCAUGGCCCUUUUGGUUGCCUCGACCCGACCCGAAAGCUCUCCGAAAUUGAGAACAACCGGAACAGGUGUUGCCUCUACCUCUCCAYAGUUAGUGGUAGGAUACGCAACAUUCUGCGUCGAUCCUCAAACUAGUAGGACGAGCUUAGCCCGCUCAAUUGCGACAACCGGCCCGGCUGUUGCGUCCGCCUUCCCACGCAAGUGGAAGGGCCAGCAACUACCGACGCUGGACGUCAACGAGGACGUGCUACCUGGUUGAUCCUGCCAGUAGUCUA